rnacentral:rRNA from 1 species
UACGUAGGUGGCAAGCGUUAUCCGGAAUUAUUGGGCGUAAAGCGCGCGUAGGCGGUUUUUUAAGUCUGAUGUGAAAGCCCACGGCUCAACCGUGGAGGGUCAUUGGAGACUGGAAAACUUGAGUGCAGAAGAGGAAAGUGGAAUUCCAUGUGUAGCGGUGAAAUGCGCAGAGAUAUGGAGGAACACCAGUGGCGAAGGCGACUUUCUGNGUCUGUAACUGACGCUGAUGUGCGAAAGCGUGGGGAUCAAACAGGAUUAGAUAC